GGGUCAGUAGGUUGGUCGUGCCACCGGUACGUACUGGCCUCACUGAUUCCUCCUUCCUGAAGAACCGUAAUGCCAUUAAUUUGGUGUUGCGGGGAAACAGGACUGUUACUUUGAAAAAAUUAGAGUGUUUAAAGCAAGCUAACGCCUGAAUACAUUAGCAUGGAAUAAUGAAAUAGGACGAUCGAUCCUAUUUUGUUGGUUUCUAGGAUUGACGUA
rnacentral:rRNA from 1 species